GGCGGCAGAGGGUGAUACAAGCAACAAUCCCCUCGCCUUUUACUAGGGGAUUCCGUGUAUCGCCCUCACCUCAAUGUCGCCUAGGCAAUUUUUCAGAGCAUUCUGAACUUUGAGUUCA
rnacentral:snRNA from 1 species